AAUAAGGGUUUCUGCUGUGAAUAGAAGAUAAGCCGCUUGCACUUCAUCUGUGCAAAAUCGAUAUCAACAGAUUUCGGACGCACAACUUUUGUGUUUUGGAGCUGCUGGUGAUUGGUUGUCUCAGCGCUCUG